GAUGAACGCUGGCGGCGUGCCUAAUACAUGCCAGUCGAGCGAACAGACGAGGAGCUUGCUCCUCUGACGUUAGCGGCGGACGGGUGAGUAACACGUGGAUAACCUACCUAUAAGACUGGGAUAACUUCGGGAAACCGGAGCUAAUACCGGAUAAUAUAUUGAACCGCAUGGUUCAAUAGUGAAAGACGGUUUUGCUGUCACUUAUAGAUGGAUCCGCGCCGCAUUAGCUAGUUGGUAAGGUAACGGCUUACCAAGGCGACGAUGCGUAGCCGACCUGAGAGGGUGAUCGGCCAGACUGGAACUGAGACACGUUCCGGACUCCUACGGGAGGCAGCAGUAGGGAAUCUUCCGCAAUGGGCGAAAGCCUGACGGAGCAACGCCGCGGGAGUGAUGAAGGUCUUCGGAUCGUAAAACUCUGUUAUUAGGGAAGAACAAAUGUGUAAGUAACUAUGCACGUCUUGACGGUACCUAAUCAGAAAGCCACGGCUAACUACGUG
rnacentral:rRNA from 1 species